rnacentral:lncRNA from 1 species
CACUUCCCUCACUUAGACUUUCGGGGGCCUAACGUGCCUCCCAAAGUCCAUGCAUGUUCGGCGGCCGAAAGUGAGUUUCGGCGGCCGAACCUGGGUUUUUCCUUAAAGAAUUUUCAUGCAAAAAUUUAUUUAAAAUCAUACUUAAAACAUUAAAAUACAUGAAAACAUUUUAUAAAAACAUGUUUUUACCCUUCUAGAGGUUUCCGACACCCAAAUUCCACCGGACGGUAGGAAUUCCGAUACCGGAGUCUAGCCGGGUAUUAC